GACGAACGCUGGCGGCGUGCUUAACACAUGCAAGUCGAACGGAAAGGCCCUGCUUUUGUGGGGUGCUCGAGUGGCGAACGGGUGAGUAACACGUGAGUAACCUGCCCUUGACUUUGGGAUAACUUCAGGAAACUGGGGCUAAUACCGGAUAGGGGUCCUGCUUCAUGGUGGGGGUUGGAAAGUUUCGGCGGUUGGGGAUGGACUCGCGGCUUAUCAGCUUGUUGGUGGGGUAGUGGCUUACCAAGGCUUUGACGGGUAGCCGGCCUGAGAGGGUGACCGGCCACAUUGGGACUGAGAUACGGCCCAGACUCCUACGGGAGGCAGCAGUGGGGAAUAUUGCACAAUGGGCGGAAGCCUGAUGCAGCAACGCCGCGUGCGGGAUGACGGCCUUCGGGUUGUAAACCGCUUUCGCCUGUGACGAAGCGUGAGUGACGGUAAUGGGUAAAGAAGCACCGGCUAACUACGUG
rnacentral:rRNA from 1 species